GGAGAGGAGAUGAGAACCGAGGGAGAGGAGAGGAGAGGGAGGAGAUGGAAGAGAGGGAGGAGCAGAGAGUAGAGUGAAUCUGGAUUAGUCUGAUGCAGUGGCGUCAUUAGGCCUGGGCUUUAGGCAUUCAGACCCAGAUGUUUUUGGUCCAGCCCUGAACUUUUUGAUGGUCCCCCAAAAUAUAAAUAAACAAUACAAUAUACUGUGCUAGGCAGUAGCACGCACUGUAAGAAGAGAAAAGUCUAUGGGUAGGGACAUCCAAAGGAUCCUGGAGAGCACAAACCCUGCAAGAAGCCUCUGGAGUGACUGGUCAAGAUUUUACAACGCAGUGGACCGCUCACGUCCCUUGACCCCUCUCUUACAGCACCAGUUAGAUGUCAAGAUGAGCCAAGGAGAAGGACAGAUGAGAACAGCAGGCCAGUAGAGCAGCAGCAGCCAUGGGCAAUUGGGGAGAAUGCCCCUGCACCCACCUACUGGCUUUGUGCUAAGCCCCAAAUGUCUUCAAAUCCUAGUAAUGCCCCUGGUCUGAUGCUCAGUCAGCCAGCCCACCCAGCAGGACAACUGAGGACAGUGUGGAGUGAAAAAGAGAGAGAGAGAGGAGAAAGGGAAAGAGAGAAAUUGAGGAGAGACAGAGAGAGAAGAGGAGAGAAAAUUACUUUUGUAAUUUUAAAAAUGACCUUUUUGACACAAUUCCACUU